UCCUCAAAAUGACUUGACAUUAACCAGGUUUCCACCCAACACUUUUGUCCAUAAUAAUCUCAUCAUAUAGCAGGCUAUACCAGUACUGUACAGGGCCGGCGUUAUGGGCGGGCUCUAGGGCGCCUUGCCCGCCCUACCGUACCUCCUUGCCCAUCCAAAUAAAAUAUUGAAAUAUUGAUCAUUUAUUUGAUCGAGACGCGCGCCGACAGACACUCAAUCUCAGAUAAAGCAUCCGAGAGAGCGAAACAGCGCCACUCUGUCUCCGUGUAGACCAUGUAUCUGAUACUGUCUGGACAAAAAGAGUAUGGCAUGUCAUACUUUUUCUGGCCAGACCGCAUCAGAUACAUGCGCUACAUAUAAGUAAUGCCCCUUGCCGCGCGGUGAAACACCGCUUCACAUUCAUUUUCAACGGAAGGAAAGCGGUGAGAGGGCGGUGCGAAAGACAGCAUUUCCCAGCUUUAUGGAAAUCACCCAGCGGCGGCGACCAAUCAUAUCGAGUGGUUCCCAUGACGACUUUGACGCUAAGCGACCCAAGGCUGAGAGGCUUCUUCAGCAAAGAUGGCUGACAAAAAUACUAGGACGGAAGCAAAUGGACUCCUGAGAAAACCAGCAAACCAGGCUGUCGUCUUGUGGAACAGUGGAUGUAAAGAAUCUAGCGUAGAAUCCCGUAUUAUCGGCAUAUUCAACAGCGUUUAAGAAAUAUAUUACCUUCAACAGUG